rnacentral:rRNA from 4 species
CACCGCGGUUAUACGAGAAAGGGCCCAAGUUGACAGAGCUCGGCGUAAAGGGUGGUUAAUUGAAAGUUUUACUAAAGCCGAACGCCUUCAGAGAUGUUAUAAGCAUACGAAGGAGAGAAGCCCAUAUACGAAAGUAGCUUUAAAAUAUAUGACGCCACGAAAGCUAGGAAA